ACUUCUAGCAAGACUGACAAAGAAACAAUUAGAGGGAAGACACAGACUGUCAAUAUCAGGAAUGAAAGAGGGAACAUCACUACAGACCCUGCAGACAUCAAAAGGAUAAUACGGGAACACUACAAAUGCCUCUACACACAUAACUCUGACAUCUUCAAUAAAAUGGACCAACUCCUAGAGAAGCAUGAGGUACUACAACUCAUUCAAUAUCAAACAGCGGUUGGUUGGAUAUAUGGAUAUGGAA
rnacentral:lncRNA from 10 species